rnacentral:rRNA from 2 species
CUACGGGAGGCAGCAGUGGGGAAUAUUGCACAAUGGGCGAAAGCCUGAUGCAGCAACGCCGCGUGAGUGAUGAAGGCCUUCGGGUUGUAAAGCUCUGUCUUCUGGGACGAUAAUGACGGUACCAGAGGAGGAAGCCACGGCUAACUACGUGCCAGCAGCCGCGGUAAU